UGCAGAGCCGGUGUGAGGUUGGGGGUGGUGAUCCAUCAGAGAAAGUGGCCAAAGCCUGUCAUGAGUAGACAGUAUCUGAUGAGGGGAAGCACUUAGUUAUUCUUUUCUGAAGUCCUAAAGGACCACAGAUAGAGUGGAUUUCAGGACUUAUUUAAAUGAUAGGAGACACAUGGUUUGGCGCAGUGAGAGGACGGGUUUUCCAGGCAUGCUGUGCUGUUUUGGAGCUGGCUCAGGGGCUGGUCGAAGCCAGGCUCAGAAGGAACUCUACGGGCAAAACUGGCUCCAUGGACGCAAAGUCAACUGAGGCACGACCUUGGCCUCUUUGCGCAAGCUAAGUGUGGGAGACAAUAAUGACACUGAUGACUGCAAGACAGCAUGAAGAAGCAUUGGGAAACCAAGGGGAUUUAAUUACAACUGCCUCACGAGCAGGAUUUGAAAAGGAGUGGGAGGCUCAUGGAAACCUUAAUUGCUGAGAAAAGUUAAGAAGAGAAAUAUGACAGAAGUAAUGGGUCUGUAUGUAUGUCAUGUCUGAUUUGUCAUUUUUCUAGACAGGCACUCUGCCUCCUGCCUUCUUCUAGGUUAGAGAAGAAAAGAUCCUUCAGCUGCUAAGGUGAAGAUACUAUUUAGGAUGCAGAAAUAGGACCUGGAGAUACUCCUUAUUCCUUUUAGGGAAGAAAAGGUCCAUCUCAGGUUACCUCAC
rnacentral:lncRNA from 1 species